GCGCGCCGCGGGACGGGUGGCCUCGGGAGCGAGCGCUGCUGGACUUAAAUAGUCCAGCAGCGCUACGCUGCAGUAGUCAGAACGACCACCGGCAUUAAGAGGAUCAUCCCUGGACAAAACGAGCCCCCCUGGACAACGAGCAGAGAAACCAUAAGUAUCAACCCCCCCCUCUAUACCACCAACGAUAUAUAUAUUCCUCCCUCCUAUACCCUACCUACACCCCCUAUAUAAUCCACCCUCCUAUACCCUACCUACCCCCCCUAUACCACCAACGCCACCCUCCUAUACCCUACCUACCCCCCUAUAAACCCUCCUAACCCUAUAGACUGCCCUACACUAUAUCCCUUAUUUCCCCCCAUACCUUGUUGCCCUCCCAUAAUAUACCCUCAUCUCUUAUACCCCUGGUAACCCUCAUUUUCCCUUGACCCAGGUCCUGAUAUCCCCGGUAUUAACGUCCCCUGUUCCCCGGUGUCUCUACCCCCGCAACUGUCCUGCUUACCCCAGCAGCACAGUUUAUGUAAUAACCCCUGAUUCGCCCCCUUAGGGAUAGUAUAUAGUCAGGCUUGGGUGGGCGACCGUUAAGGUGUAUGAAUGUGUAUGGUCAUUGAUACUAGUUAGAUCUUGGGGUGGAUUUGGGACUGCGUUAGUGUAGUCAGUGACGUGUUAGUGUAUUGUAUUAGUGUGUGUAUCUAUAUUAUUGUGCAUUGUUAUAACAAUAUAUAUCUAUCCAUCUGUUUAUAGAUAUAUAUAGUUAUAAACCUAUAAUUCCUUUAUAAUUACAAGGAAUCGCUGCUGUGGAGGUAGCAUAUUGUUGGCACUGUAUUACUUGUGUAUUAAUAAAUACUGUGUCAUUUGUAUCUAUUGUAUAACGUGUGAGUACUAGCGGUAGUCAGUAAGGCGCAUGCAGUAAGUGUAGUUGGUGAUUAGACUAAGGUAAUCAGCUGUAAAUUGUUAUUCUUAAGGCAUAAAUAGGCGGAGUCAUCACCAGACGAUUACGCCUAUUUAUGAAUAUUAAUUAUUGAGAUUUGCAUAAAUAUCAAUAAUUAAUAUCCCCUUUAACAUUGGCGAGCCAGGCCCACUGCUGUGGGUUUGUAUCUGUGGUUGGUUUUGGAACAGAAAAACCGCUUACGCUGUGAACUAAUCAGGUGGGAAGGACGCGGUCAGUGGAUCUGAGCGUCCAUAGCCUGCAAGUUCGGACGGGUAAGAGCGGGUUUUUCUCGAUCAGAACCGGACACAGAGCAAACUUUACAGCAGAGAAUCUAAAAUCUUUCCUGAUCUUUGUGUACUAAUAUUUUCUGAUUCCCUUACACGCCAACUGGAGAGAAGUCAUCACAACACCACUGAAGAGAGAACCAUCAUCGUUGAAACAGAAGUCGUCUAGCUGAACGGGAGAAGGCGUUCCGAAUAUUGAAGGACCUCCUCCAUGCAGCAACACAAGAAUCAACGACACCAAUGAAGAUGGCCUCUCGUCAAAAAUGAUGCCAGGAGAUACAGAGGUCCUCUGUGCUGGCAUGUCUUUCUCCAACAUUACCCACUUGGAAUGACACAGUAAAUAAUAUAUCAGAAAAUAAGAAGAAUCAGUCCUCAUGUUAUAUGAGUUAUGCUGCAGUUAUAUCAAAUGCAAUACAGCACCUGUGUGCAGUUUUAAAGAAUACAUGGUUCCCUUCCAAGGAUGCAGCACACAGAGUUUCUGAUUUGAUGAAAGAGAGACUGAGGACAGACAGACGUUCAAGACCCAGGACCCCUUUCUCUGAUCAGUGUGGUUUUAUUGUGCGGCAGAAGAAGAUGGCAUGUACUUGAACACCUUGAUUUGUUUUUAUAACAAUAGCCAUCAUAUAUACUUCUGAACGUGUUGCCAUAAAUUGCAACUUUUAUUAUUUGUAAGUCCUACAGACCUGUUUUAUCAUUUAUAGUCACAUUCAAUAAUAAUAAUAAAAAAAGAAUACAUGACGUAUAAAAUCAGUUGUUUACAUGGAAAAUUAAAAACUAUG